GGAAUGUGCCACAAGACCCACACCAAGGAAUGGAGCUCUAAAACCCAGCAAAGUGUCUUGAAAGAAGCCAUGGAGGAAAUACCUUCGUAAGAUCAAGAGACAAGAUUAAUGUAUAAAAAGUAUUUAUGUACCAGCAAUGAACAAGUAUAAUUUAAUGUAAAAACAUGUUGUUGUUUAUAUCAAUAUGCCGAAAAUGAGAUGUUUAGAUAGAAAUUUAACAAGAGCCAGGCAUGGUGGUGCACACUUUUGAUCCCAGCACUUGGGAGGCAGAGGCAGAUGGAUCUGUGUUUGAGGUGAACCUGGUCCACAAAGUGAGUUACAGGGCAGCUAGGGCUAUACUGUCUCAAAAACAAAACAGAACAAAACAAAAAACAGAAAAAAAAAAAGAGGAGGAGGAGAUGACAACUAUAUGAAGAAGACUACCACAUUCUAAUAUUAGAUAAUUAAUGUAAAGAUAAUUUGUAGCUAGGAAGGCUAAUGUCCCUCGUUCCCAUAUUGAUCUGUAGAUUUAAUACAGCAUCAGUUAAAACCUGAGUCAGUUACUACAUGGAUAUCAACAAACUGAUUCUGAAAUUUAUGUGGAAAGGCAAAAGAUUCAAAAGAACAAAGUAAAAAAAAGAUAGUUGCCAACUAGAAUCUUAGUGUGAAAAUGUUGCAAUCAGUAUGAUGUAGCAUUGGCAAAAGAACUGACAAUGGGAUAGAAUAGAGAACCAAAAAAAUAGACCUGAACUCCCCAAGGAGUCAAGGCUAUGCUGGAAUAGAUGAACCUUUGAUUAUAAAAGUGAAUUUAAAUGACAUUAAUUAAAAUUAAUUGAAAACGGAUCAUAGAUCUCAAUGCUAAAUGUAGAGCUACUAAAGACAACAGAACCUCUGUCCUCCUGUGUUGAUACAGCACCAAAGGCACUUCCAAUGAAAGAGAAUUGAUAAGCAGGACGUUGUUAAAAUGUCAGAGGUUUUCUCUGACUGACAUACAGAGAAUAAGAACAUAACACUACAGGCUAGGAUAAAACCUUUCCAAAAGAUGCCUUUGUGAUUUUAAUCACAUGCACAAAGGGGCUGGGCAGGUAGCCUAGUUAUAAGUUGUAGUUGAUCUCUGCUACUUUGUGGUUCUUUUCCUCACCCUUACUGCCUCACCCCACCCCACCCCAUCCCAUUUCACCCUCUAUCACUAGAUAGGAAAGAGGGAUGGGGGAGGGGAGAAAUAGAGAUCCCUGAGUCUAAAUUCUUUCCUUUUGUUUCUUCUUUGAACACAAAUACUAACAAACCUCAACUAAGCCCACAUCUCCAGGUUCUAGCAUUUAUAUACCCUCUGAAAAGUUCUCAGAAUUCCAAAUGUCACACAAUUGCAGAAACUAUCUGCAUCUGGCAAAACCAUGCUUCUCUAACGCAUGAGGCAAAUCAUGGUCAGUUACUGCAGAUAGUCUGAAGCAGCCCAAAUCCCUAUACCUGCAAUUAAAAUGAAAACACAUUCUUAUACUGUUUCUGUGUUUUUAAAGGAACAAAAAUUCCUACAUUGUCACUAUAAUAAGUAAUGUACUCCAGAAUAUGAGUUUCAUUCCCAGAAUCCAGCUGUGGUAGCAUGUGCUGGGGAGGUAGCUCAGUGGCCAGCCAGCCUAACCUUGGUCAAGUCAGUGAGAGAUGAUUUC
rnacentral:lncRNA from 1 species